AUGACAAAUGUUACAACCAUGAACGACCCCGGCGACGAGGAAUGCUACAACUAUGGACAACAAAGGCUGCAACUGGCACCAUCAGAUGUUACGAUCGUUUUGUCAAGAAGUUGCAACCCACGACGCCUAGAGACGACGAUGCUACACCCUGCAUGGCGAGUUACAACCAGUGACGACGGCAGAAGCUUUUGCUGCAACCGUAUCGAUUUUUUGCUACUACCGGCGCUUUUUUCUGCAUCCAUUCAUGAACUCCCACAGUGCUUCACGGGAGGUGAGAUGUUGGUGGUGGGUGGCUGCGAACCACGACGGCGGCGACGAGCAGGACGACUAUCUAGCUUGAAGCGAGGGGCGGUGCGGUGCUGCGACCGGAGGCGAUAG
rnacentral:rRNA from 1 species